GACAGAGGCCUCAAGCGUUAGGCGGAAUCACUGGGCUUAAAGCGUGUGUAGGCGGAUGCCUAAGUACCUUGUGAAAUCCCACGGCUCAACCGUGGAACUGCUGGGUAUACUGGGUGUCUUGGGCCAUUCAGGGGCGACUGGAACAAGCGGUGGAGCGGUGAAAUGCGUAGAUAUCGCUUGGAACGCCGAAGGUGAAGACAGGUCGCUGGGGAUGUGCCGACGCUGAGACACGAAAGCCAGGGGAGCAAACGGG
rnacentral:rRNA from 1 species